rnacentral:rRNA from 1 species
AACUAACAGGGAUUCCCCUAGUAACUGCGAGUGAAGCGGGAAAAGCUCAAAUUUAAAAUCUGGCGGUCUUCGGCCGUCCGAGUUGUAGUCUGGAGAAGUGCUUUCCGCGCUGGACCGUGUAUAAGUCUCUUGGAACAGAGCGUCAUAGAGGGUGAGAAUCCCGUCUUUGACACGGACUACCAGUGCUUUGUGAUGCGCUCUCAAAGAGUCGAGUUGUUUGGGAAUGCAGCUCAAAAUGGGUGGUGAAUUCCAUCUAAAGCUAAAUAUUGGCGAGAGACCGAUAGCGAACAAGUACCGUGAGGGAAAGAUGAAAAGCACUUUGGAAAGAGAGUUAAACAGUACGUGAAAUUGCUGAAAGGGAAACGCUUGAAGUCAGUCGCGUCGUCCGGAACUCAGCCUUGCUUUCGCUUGGUGCACUUUCCGGAUGACGGGUCAGCAUCGAUUUUGACCGUCGGAAAAGGGCUGGAGUAAUGUGGCACCUCCGGGUGUGUUAUAGACUCUAGUCGCAUACGGCGGUUGGGAUCGAGGAACGCAGCGCGCCGCAAGGCAGGGGUUCGCCCACUUUCGCGCUUAGGAUGCUGGCAUAAUGGCUUUAAACGACCCGUCUUGAAACACGGACCAAGGAGUCUAACAUACCUGCGAGUGUUUGGGUGGAAAACCCGAGCGCGUAAUGAAAGUGAAAGUUGAGACCUCUGUCGUGGAGGGCAUCGACGCCCGGACCUGACGUUCUCUGAAGGAUCCGCGGUAGAGCAUGUAUGUUGGGACCCGAAAGAUGGUGAACUAUGCCUGAAUAGGGUGAAGCCAGAGGAAACUCUGGUGGAGGCUCGUAGCGAUUCUGACGUGCAAAUCGAUCGUCAAAUUUGGGUAUAGGGGCGAAAGACUAAUCGAAC